rnacentral:rRNA from 1 species
UCAAUGAUUUAAAUAGCCGCAGAAAUUUAACUGUGCUAAGGUAGCAUAAUCAUUUGAUUUUUAAUUAAAAUCUAGAAUGAAAGGCUUAACAAUUUAAAUUCUUUUUUAUUUUUAAUCAUUAAAAUUUUAUUAAAAAUAAAAAUAUUUUUAUUUUUUAAAAAGACGACAAGACCCUUUUAAACUUAACUUUAGUUUAACUGGGACAGUUAUUUAAUAAUUAUUUUAAAAUAUUUAUUUUACUAAUAACCUAAUAUUAUUAAAUUAACAAGUUACUAAAGGGAUAACAGCGUAAUUUAUACUUAAAGCUCUUAUUUAAUUAUAAGAUUACGACCUCGAUGUUGAAUUAAAUUCCUUUUUUAAGCAAAAUAAAUAAAAGGAGGUCUGUUCGACCUUUAAAAAUUUACAUGAUUUGAGUUCAAA